rnacentral:rRNA from 1 species
CCUGGUGUAGCGGUGGAAUGCGCAGAUAUCAGGAAGAACACCGAUGGCGAAGGCAGUUCUCUGGGCCGUAACUGACGCUGAGGAGCGAAAGCAUGGGGAGCGAACAGGAUUAGAUACCCUGGUAGUCCAUGCCGUAAACGUUGGGAACUAGAUGUGGGGGCCAUUCCACGGCUUCCGUGUCGCAGCUAACGCAUUAAGUUCCCCGCCUGGGGAGUACGGCCGCAAGGCUAAAACUCAAAGGAAUUGACGGGGGCCCGCACAAGCGGCGGAGCAUGCGGAUUAAUUCGAUGCAACGCGAAGAACCUUACCAAGACUUGACAUAUACGAGAACGGGCCAGAAAUGGUCAACUCUUUGACACUCGUAAACAGGUGGUGCAUGGUUGUCGUCAGCUCGUGUCGUGAGAUGUUGGGUUAAGUCCCGCAACGAGCGCAACCCUCGUUCUAUGUUGCCAGCACGUAAUGGUGGGAACUCAUAGGAGACUGCCGGGGUCAACUCGGAGGAAGGUGGGGAUGACGUCAAAUCAUCAUGCCCCUUAUGUCUUGGGCUUCACGCAUGCUACAAUGGCCGGUACAAAGGGCUGCAAUACCGUAAGGUGGAGCGAAUCCCAAAAAGCCGGUCUCAGUUCGGAUUGAGGUCUGCAACUCGACCUCAUGAAGUCGGAGUCGCUAGUAAUCGCAGAUCAGCAACGCUGCGGUGAAUACGUUCCCGGGCCUUGUACACACCGCCCGUCAAGUCAUGAAAGUCGGUAACACCCAACGCCG